AUUGAACGCUGGCGGCAUGCUUUACACAUGCAAGUCGAACGGUAACAGGUUAAGCUGACGAGUGGCGAACGGGUGAGUAAUGCAUCGGAAUGUGCCCGAUCGUGGGGGAUAACGCAGCGAAAGCUGCGCUAAUACCGCAUACGAUCUGAGGAUGAAAGCGGGGGACCGUAAGGCCUCGCGCGAUCGGAGCGGCCGAUGUCAGAUUAGGUAGUGGGUGGGGUAAAGGCUCACCAAGCCGACGAUCUGUAGCUGGUCUGAGAGGACGACCAGCCAAACUGGGACUGAGACACGGCACAGACUCCUACGGGAGGCAGCAGUGGGGAAUUUUGGACAAUGGGCGCAAGCCUGAUCCAGCAAUGCCGCGUGCAGGAAGAAGGCCUUCGGGUUGUAAACUGCUUUUGUACGGAGCGAAAAGGCUCUCUCUAAUACAGGGGGUUCAUGACGGUACCGUAAGAAUAAGCACCGGCUAACUACGUGCCAGCAGCCGCAGUAA
rnacentral:rRNA from 1 species